GAGAGAAUGGCACAUCUAAAGGAUGCAAUCUAUCAUCCUAAACAUUGGUCCCUUCAAUCCUAUGAAAAUGGAACUGUAAAACCAAAUGAAAACAGCAGUUCAGAAGUAUUCUCUGGGCCAAGACAAAACCAGCCUGGAUUUUCUCACCCUUACUCACAGUGAACAGUAGGCUACUCAGUAAAUAGUUCAUUAUUUCAAUAUGAAUAAAGGUCACCCAAUCUAGUGCUUAGGGAUUGCAUAAUAAUUUUUCAUCUGUAUUUCCUCAACCUUUUAGAAAAUAUGCACAACUCUCUCAUUCUUUUUUCACAGUUGAGAAGCUGGUGCAGAGCUAGAUCAAAUGAGUUACCCUAUACUCUUCAAUAAGGCAAAGGAAGCCAAAAAUAGAACCUC
rnacentral:lncRNA from 12 species